GUUGCCUGGGGGUGCUUUUAUGUGUGCACCCUGGAAGAUAGGUCCAGAAGCCUUGCGAUUUCUUAGAUUAAAGCUAAGUGUACUCGUGACCCUACCAGCACUUUUCAAGAUACUUUCGACGUAUUCAUUGCGGUGAACAACGCGGUUGGGACAGCACACUCACGACGUGGGAAG